CAGGGAAUUGGGGUCAGUUCAUCAACAGUGUCCCAGCAAUGAUGCAUCAUGGCUCUUCUGUCAGAGAAUCCCAGCAGCUCUCAAUCCACCGUGGUUUACAUCCCAGGAUCCUUUCUCUUUUGGAAUAAUUUAAUACAUGAUUACCAGAGGUUUCCAUAUAUAGUAGCCUCCCCAAGACUUAUGCUUCAGUGGUUUUUGCUCUUUGAUUCUGGAUCAGUUUGAAAGAAGACAAUGCUGUCUUAGCAAUUUAUAUACUAGGAAUGAUGUAGACUGUGCAUAGUUGAAGGCACAUGUUGGCAAGAGGCUAUAAAGGUUCCCAAUCAGCUUGACAGAAUGGUAUACAAAUAACUGGCCAGAAAUGCCUUUCUGCUCUUAAGAGAACACCUAUACUUUGUGUAUAUAUAGCCUGCCAGGGGAGGGGGUUCGGGUGGGUGGGAGAGCACAGAACCCAAUUGCCCACUCCCAAUGGGCACUUCCCAUCUUAUGAUUGAGCCCCUCUGCCCAUAAGCACCACAGAAUCCAAGCUUCACCAGAUACCAUGGCACACGGACCCUUCCUCUUUAGGUGAAUUUCAAAAUUGCCACUGUCAACUUGGGACCAAAUAGCAAAAUGUCACAACCAGACAUAUUAACUUGGGGAAUGGAGGAAAUCAUUUUAACACAAUAGAAAGGUAGACUAAAUAAGUAAGAAUAAAUGUAGAUGGGGGAGGCCGGCAGAAUGCCCGGAGUCUGGAGCAUUUCUUGCACUGACAGGAAAUGUACCUAGGUAGGCACCUACAUUUCCUGUACCUACCUAUAUGUUCUUU
rnacentral:lncRNA from 1 species